rnacentral:rRNA from 11 species
GGCGGCAGGCCUAACACAUGCAAGUCGAGCGCACCUUCGGGUGAGCGGCGGACGGGUUAGUAACGCGUGGGAACGUACCCUUUUCUACGGAAUAGCCUUUGGAAACGAAGAGUAAUACCGUAUACGCCCUUUGGGGGAAAGAUUUAUCGGAGAAGGAUCGGCCCGCGUUAGAUUAGAUAGUUGGUGGGGUAACGGCCUACCAAGUCUACGAUCUAUAGCUGGUUUUAGAGGAUGAUCAGCAACACUGGGACUGAGACACGGCCCAGACUCCUACGGGAGGCAGCAGUGGGGAAUCUUAGACAAUGGGCGCAAGCCUGAUCUAGCCAUGCCGCGUGAGUGAUGAAGGCCUUAGGGUCGUAAAGCUCUUUCGCCUGUGAUGAUAAUGACAGUAGCAGGUAAAGAAACCCCGGCUAACUCCGUGCCAGCAGCCGCGGUAAUACGGAGGGGGUUAGCGUUGUUCGGAAUUACUGGGCGUAAAGCGCACGUAGGCGGAUUGGAAAGUUGGGGGUGAAAUCCCGGGGCUCAACCCCGGAACUGCCUCCAAAACUAUCAGUCUAGAGUUCGAGAGAGGUGAGUGGAAUUCCAAGUGUAGAGGUGAAAUUCGUAGAUAUUUGGAGGAACACCAGUGGCGAAGGCGGCUCACUGGCUCGAUACUGA